ACAAACUUGGUCAUUUAGAGGAAGUAAAAGUCGUAACAAGGUCUCCGUAGGUGAACCUGCGGAGGGAUCAUUACCGAAAGGCCUCGUGCCUUUUACCUUCAAAACCGUGGAGCAGACACGUGCUUCGGCGCCCAGGCGCCGUCCUCAUGCCUGAACAUGUCCUUGACGUCUGAACAUGAGAAUAAGAAACCAAAACUUUCAACAAAGGAUCUCUUGGCUCUCGCAUCGAUGAAGAACGCAGC
rnacentral:misc_RNA from 1 species